GUUGUAUGGUUAAGUGACUAAGCGUACACGGUGGAUGCCUUGGCAGUCAGAGGCGAUGAAAGACGUAGUAACUUGCGAUAAGCCCAGAUUAGGUAGUAACAACCAUUUGAGUCUGGGAUUUCUGAAUGGGGAAACCCACGUGCAUAAGCACGUAUCCUUACCUGAAUACAUAGGGUAAGGAGGCGAACCGGGGGAACUGAAACAUCUAAGUACCCCGAGGAAAAGAAAUCAACCGAGAUUCCGAAAGUAGCGGCGAGCGAAAUUGGACUAGCCCUUAAGCUUUACACGCGUUAGACGAACGGUCUGGAAAGUCCGACGAUACAGGGUGAUAGUCCCGUAGUUGACGACGUGUGUUCAGUGAAAUCGAGUAGGGCGGGACACGUGAUAUCCUGUCUGAAUAUGGGGGGACCAUCCUCCAAGGCUAAAUACUACUGACUGACCGAUAGUGAACCAGUACCGUGAGGGAAAGGCGAAAAGAACCCCUGUGAGGGGAGUGAAAUAGAACCUGAAACCGUGUACGUACAAGCAGUAGGAGCAGGCUUUGUCCUGUGACUGCGUACCUUUUGUAUAAUGGGUCAGCGACUUAUAUUCAGUGGCAAGGUUAACCAUCUAGGGGAGCCGUAGGGAAACCGAGUCUUAACUGGGCGUUCAGUCUCUGGAUAUAGACCCGAAACCAGGUGAUCUAGCCAUGGGCAGGUUGAAGGUUGAGUAACAUCAACUGGAGGACCGAACCGACUAAUGUUGAAAAAUUAGCGGAUGACUUGUGGCUAGGGGUGAAAGGCCAAUCAAACCUGGAGAUAGCUGGUUCUCCCCGAAAGCUAUUUAGGUAGCGCCUCGGACGAAUACUACUGGGGGUAGAGCACUGUUAAGGCUAGGGGGUCAUCCCGACUUACCAACCCUUUGCAAACUCCGAAUACCAGUAAGUACUAUCCGGGAGACACACGGCGGGUGCUAACGUCCGUCGUGGAGAGGGAAACAACCCAGACCGCCAGCUAAGGUCCCAAAUUACUACUAAGUGGGAAACGAUGUGGGAAGGCUCAGACAGCCAGGAUGUUGGCUUAGAAGCAGCCAUCAUUUAAAGAAAGCGUAAUAGCUCACUGGUCGAGUCGGCCUGCGCGGAAGAUGUAACGGGGCUAAGUAGUAAACCGAAGCUGCGGCAAUAUACUUUUGUAUAUUGGGUAGGGGAGCGUUCUGUAAGCGGUUGAAGGUGUGUGGUAACGCAUGCUGGACGUAUCAGAAGUGCGAAUGCUGACAUGAGUAACGAUAAAGGGGGUGAAAAACCUCCUCGCCGGAAGACCAAGGGUUCCUGUCCAACGUUAAUCGGGGCAGGGUAAGUCGACCCCUAAGGCGAGGCCGAAAGGCGUAGUCGAUGGGAAACGGGUUAAUAUUCCCGUACUUCUUACAAUUGCGAUGGGGGGACGGAGAAGGCUAGGUGGGCCUGGCGACGGUUGUCCAGGUUCAAGUGCGUAGGCUUAAGAGUUAGGUAAAUCCGGCUCUUUUUAAGGCUGAGACACGACGUCGAGCAUCUACGGAUGUGAAGUCAUUGAUGCCAUGCUUCCAGGAAAAGCCUCUAAGCUUCAGAUUGUAAGGAAUCGUACCCCAAACCGACACAGGUGGUCGGGUAGAGAAUACCAAGGCGCUUGAGAGAACUCGGGUGAAGGAACUAGGCAAAAUGGUACCGUAACUUCGGGAGAAGGUACGCUCUCGACGGUGAAGUCCCUCGCGGAUGGAGCUAUUGAGAGUCGCAGAUACCAGGUGGCUGCAACUGUUUAUUAAAAACACAGCACUGUGCAAAAUCGUAAGAUGACGUAUACGGUGUGACGCCUGCCCGGUGCCGGAAGGUUAAUUGAUGGGGUUAGACUUCGGUCGAAGCUCUUGAUCGAAGCCCCGGUAAACGGCGGCCGUAACUAUAACGGUCCUAAGGUAGCGAAAUUCCUUGUCGGGUAAGUUCCGACCUGCACGAAUGGCGUAAUGAUGGCCACGCUGUCUCCACCCGAGACUCAGUGAAAUUGAAAUCGCUGUGAAGAUGCAGUGUACCCGCGGCUAGACGGAAAGACCCCGUGAACCUUUACUACAGCUUGGCACUGAACAUUGACCCUACAUGUGUAGGAUAGGUGGGAGGCUUUGAAGCACGUACGCCAGUAUGUGUGGAGCCGUCCUUGAAAUACCACCCUUGUAGUGUUGAUGUUCUAACGUCGACCCCUAAUCGGGGUUGCGGACAGUGCCUGGUGGGUAGUUUGACUGGGGCGGUCUCCUCCCAAAGAGUAACGGAGGAGCACGAAGGUGGGCUAAUCACGGUUGGACAUCGUGAGGUUAGUGCAAUGGCAUAAGCCCGCUUGACUGCGAGAAUGACAAUUCGAGCAGGUGCGAAAGCAGGUCAUAGUGAUCCGGUGGUUCUGAAUGGAAGGGCCAUCGCUCAACGGAUAAAAGGUACUCCGGGGAUAACAGGCUGAUACCGCCCAAGAGUUCAUAUCGACGGCGGUGUUUGGCACCUCGAUGUCGGCUCAUCACAUCCUGGGGCUGAAGUCGGUCCCAAGGGUAUGGCUGUUCGCCAUUUAAAGUGGUACGCGAGCUGGGUUUAGAACGUCGUGAGACAGUUCGGUCCCUAUCUGCCGUGGGCGUUGGAAGAUUGAAGGGGGCUGCUCCUAGUACGAGAGGACCGGAGUGGACGAACCUCUGGUGUUCGGGUUGUGUCGCCAGACGCAUUGCCCGGUAGCUAAGUUCGGAAUCGAUAACCGCUGAAAGCAUCUAAGCGGGAAGCGAGCCCUGAGAUGAGUCUUCCCUGAUACUUUAAGUAUCCUAAAGGGUUGUCGGAGACUACGACGUUGAUAGGUCAGGUGUGUAAGUGCUGUGAGGCAUUGAGCUAACUGAUACUAAUUGCCCGUGAGGCUUAACCAUACAACACCCAAGGGGUUU
rnacentral:rRNA from 1 species